rnacentral:rRNA from 1 species
GACGAACGCUGGCGGCGUGCCUAAUACAUGCAAGUAGAACGCUGAAGGAGGAGCUUGCUUCUCUGGAUGAGUUGCGAACGGGUGAGUAACGCGUAGGUAACCUGCCUGGUAGCGGGGGAUAACUAUUGGAAACGAUAGCUAAUACCGCAUAAGAGUAGAUGUUGCAUGACAUUUGCUUAAAAGGUGCAAUUGCAUCACUACCAGAUGGACCUGCGUUGUAUUAGCUAGUUGGUGAGGUAACGGCUCACCAAGGCGACGAUACAUAGCCGACCUGAGAGGGUGAUCGGCCACACUGGGACUGAGACACGGCCCAGACUCCUACGGGAGGCAGCAGUAGGGAAUCUUCGGCAAUGGACGGAAGUCUGACCGAGCAACGCCGCGUGAGUGAAGAAGGUUUUCGGAUCGUAAAGCUCUGUUGUAAGAGAAGAGCGAGUGUGAGAAGUGGAAAGUUUCAACACUGUGACGG